UACGGAGAGUGCAAGCGUUGUUCGGAAUUAUUGGGCGUAAAGCGCGUGUAGGCGGCCCAUUAAGUCUGGCGUGAAAGCUCAGGGCUCAACCCUGAAAGUGCGCUGGAAACUGAUGGGCUUGAGUACUGGAGGGGGAAGUGGAAUUCUCGAGUGUAGAGGUGAAAUUCGUAGAUAUUCGGAAGAACAUCAGUGGCGAAGGCGACUUCCUGGACAGAUACUGACGCUGAGACGCGAAAGCGUGGGGAGCAAACAGG
rnacentral:rRNA from 1 species